UGGGGAAUAUUGCACAAUGGGCGCAAGCCUGAUGCAGCCAUGCCGCGUGUGUGAAGAAGGCCUUCGGGUUGUAAAGCACUUUCAGCGGGGAGGAAGGCGAUAAGGUUAAUAACCUCAUCGAUUGACGUUACCCGCAGAAGAAGCACCGGCUAACUCCGUGCCAGCAGCCGCGGUAAUACGGAGGGUGCAAGCGUUAAUCGGAAUUACUGGGCGUAAAGCGCACGCAGGCGGUCUGUCAAGUCGGAUGUGAAAUCCCCGGGCUUAACCUGGGAACUGCAUUCGAAACUGGCAGGCUAGAGUCUUGUAGAGGGGGGUAGAAUUCCAGGUGUAGCGAUGAAAUGCGUAGAGAUCUGGAGGAAUACCGGUGGCGAAGGCGGCCCCCUGGACAAAGACUGACGCUCAGGUGCGAAAGCGUGGGGAGCAAACAGG
rnacentral:rRNA from 1 species